AGAGAGAGAGAGAGAGAGAGAUGAGAACCUAUAUAUUUGGAGGAAAAAAAAGCCCAAUAUAGAAAUAAAACGAAACGAAACAAUACUAAACAAAUAAACCGCAAAAAAACAAAAAAAAAAGAAAGAAAAGAAACUUUAUGAAAAAACCCGUUGAGAGUGGGACGCGUGCCGUAGUCGAGUAAUUUAUUUUCGAAGAUUGAACUUCGAAUUUUAGGAAGAUAUUUGUUGUGAUAAUAAUACUGUAAACUAGUGCUUAGGUUUACAAUUACUCUACGCGUUUAGAAAAGGAUAAGGUGAAUAAAUUAAUAUGACACAUGUGUGCGUGUGCGUGUGCGUGUAUACAUAUAUAUAUAUAUAUAUAUUGUCUAUAUUAUUACUAUUAUUAUUGAUUGAUCUAUUAUCUAUAUAUUGCAUAUUAAUUGGUAAGGAAAAAAUAUAUCUAUAUUAUCAUACACACACAUCUUUGGAUAAGUAAUGCAACAAUACGAUUUUUAAUAUUAAUAUAUUUAUUACGAGCUAUUACCGCUAUUAUCUAUUAUGAUUUAUGAUUUAUUAUUAUUAUUAUUAUUAUUAUUAUUAUUAUUAUUAUAUUUGCCCCUAGCUAUUAUUAUGAAUAUUAAAUGUUGUGAAGAUGUGCUGGUAGCAUGUGAGUAAAGCGCGAGCGGCGCUAUAUCAUAUAUAUAGGUAUAUGUAUACAGCGUAAUUUGAAAAAAAAAAACAAAAAAAAAAAACAAAAAAAAAAAAAAAACAAAACAAAAACGAAAAAAAAAUACAACCACAAAUAUGCAUUAACAAUUAAUGGAUAAAACGCGAUGGAAAUUUAUCGCGAAGAGUGCACAUCAGUAUUUGAAACCGAUGAUUUUCAAAAAGAUUUUUUUUUCAUACCUCGUCUCAAUUGAUCGCAAAAAAACGAAGAUGAGCGUGAAACACGAAUUAAGUUUGUUUCAAUUGUAUUUUUAACAAAUCAGACGUCACACGGGCGAAAUUUGAAUUUAUCGGCGUAUAAAAUUUUUCGAAUUCGCGCUUGGGACAAAAAAAAAAAAAAAAAUAAAAAAAAGACGAGGAAAUGAAAAUAAUAAUAAUAAUAAUUUAAGAAUUUAAGUAACACACUUGCAAUGUGAUAUCUCGUGUCUUGUCUGACGAGACGUUUUAAGAUAGUUCGCGUUUGUUUUUCGUGUAAGUUAAGGUAACAGAGCGAUAAAAGAAAAAAGAAAGAACGAUAAAAAAAAAAAAAAGUACUAAGUAAUGAUAAUUAAUGAAAAUUCCGCACGAACGAAUGUUCGCCGUAAAAGAAUCAUUGUCAUGGCUCAAAUCGCGUGUCACUCGACUUUGAGUGAUUUGUUUAUUUAUUUGUAAUUUUUUUUAUUUUUUAUUUUUUUUCUUCUUUUUCUUUUCUCCUUCCUUUUCUAUCUAUCUCAUUGUUUGUUCUUAGGCCAAUAAUUUAUGCUCUGCUAAUAGGAAGAAAAACUUUUAAUAUUCGGAAUCGAUGGACGGACGGAUGGAUGAUAAUUAAUGUACACUGUUUAUUGAAAAAGUUUUGCGGCUGUUAGCGGUUUGAUAAUAAUCGAUAGGAUCUGACUUCACAUGCCAUUUUAGCUUUUAAGCGUUUUUCAAUGAUUUAGAUUAUUAUUAUUAUUAUUAUUAUUAAUAUAACUAUUAUUAUUAUUAUUAACAAUAUUAUUAUGCUUAAGAAAUUGUAAUUUUCUUUAUUUUUUUUUUUUUUUUCCGUUUUUACUUUUAUCCAUCUUUAUUAUUGAGAUUCGCGGUAGACUCCACCUCGAACACGACGACCAAAUAGAAAAAGCUAGUAAGCGGUGUAGGAAAACUAAAAUAUAGUUAGCAGCAUAUAUAAAUACAGUAUGUAACAUAUGAAUUACUAUGGUUAUAUACGUUAGGCUUACUAAUAUAUCAACUCUCACCUGCCCUCCUUACGUUUAAUUGGCCAUCGAAGCGAAAUCUUAUGAACAAAAUUCGUCGGAUACAGUGAAUAAUGAUUGAUUAUAACUCUUUACAGGGUAUUCACGUUACUAAAUAAUUUCAAUCAGCUAUUAUAUAUAUAUAUAUAUAUACAUAUAUAUGUAUAUAUAUACAUACGUAAUAAUGAUGAUGACGAUGAAAGAAAUAAAAUAAAAUAAUAUUAAAUAAAUAAAUAAUGAUAUAAUAUUUAGUCCUAAGCAGAUCCAAUAAAAGAAACAACAAAAAAGAACUAAAAACUUCUUCUGAAAUACAGUAACGACGAAGAGUAGUUAUAAAUAAUUAUAUUGGCACGAGUAUAAUUCUGGCUCUCCGAAACAUCGAUUGUCUACGCUGUUUUUGUUGUUGUUGUUGUUGUUGUUGUUGUUGCUAUUAUUUAUUAUUUAUUAUUUAUUAUUAUUAUUUUUAUUCAACGGCCUUAUACCAGUCACUCCGAUGUGCCAUUGCCCUAUGAAUGCGAUAAAUGAAAAACCAUCACCAGAAUAUUUUGAAUUAUUAUCACGUUAGCUGAAUGAUUCUUUAAUUUUCUUUACCGAUUUGUAUUAAAGUUUUAAAGGCUCUUGGAAACACUAAACUCUCCGAGAUGUAUUCUUAAUCUGUAAUAUUUGUGAGAGAAAUCUGAAAUGUGAGUUAUCAUUAUUGUUAGUGAGUUGUGAAGAUUAUUUUAAGGAAGACUUUUUUUUUACACCGAACGAACUUUCGUGUAUGGUGACGAACUGUUGUUCAAAAUGGAUACCUACACCUUUUUUUUUUUUUUUUUUCUAAUUUUGCCGAUUAUUGUCUAAAUAUGUUUUUUUUUUUUUUUUUAUAAAAUACAUACAAAACAAAUUAUCUAGCCGAGAAUGAGUUUGAAAAUUCUUAUUAUAUAUUCAAGUGGCGCGGAUUGCGCUAACGUACUCUUGUAUGUUGAUUAGUUAAAUUAUGUGUUGAAUAGACGUUAUUAUUUUAAACUUGGCUAUUUGACAGCCGGGACGAGAGAAUAAUUAUAGUAUAUAAUAAAACGUAUGAUUGAUAAUAAGGUGUUAGUGGAAGGAGAGAGAGAGAGAGAGAGCGAGAGAGAGAGUGAGAGAGAGAAGAAAUAAAUAAAAUAAACAAACAAACAAACAAAAAUCAUGCAAAUUCCCUAUCGAGGAUAAAGACGAAUUAACAAAUAAGUAUAAAUGCAAGCCAAAGUACAUGGCUUAAUUCAUGUCUUCGAAACUAGCUAUUAAACUCGAUUCAAUAUAAGAAUAUUAAGGUAUAAAGUAAUUUUAUAUCUGUAUAUUAACACAGUUAAUGUAUACUGUGAUCUACACACAAUCAUAAUUAAUGGCACACGAAAGAGAAAAAAAAAAAAUAUUGAAAAAAAAAAAAAAAUAAAAAAAAAAGAAAUCACUCUACGUUAGAUAAUAAUUGUGUACUCUGGGCGUAAUGAAUAAUGAAUUUUUAAUUAACAUUUUACUGAGUAGCGGUUGAAAAGGUUGAAAAAAAUAAUAAUAGUAAUAAAUAAACAAAUGAAAAAAAAAAAAAAAAACGAAUAAAAAAUAAUGGUAAUGAUAAUAAUAAAUCAUUGCGUAAAUCAUCUUUUAAGACUUAGCGCUUAGUACCUAGGUGUAUAUAUAUAUAAAUAUAUAUAUAUAUAUAUAUAUUUAUAUGUGUAUAUAUGUGUGUUUUACGCCAGCUUGAUGUUCUUGUGUCGUAAACAAUGUACGAGCACAGUGUAAUUUAAGGAUUCGGUACUUACAACAUAUUAUUAUACUCUGCAUCGAUGAUAGAAACAAAAAAAAAAAAACUAUUUAAAAAUAAAAAUAAAAUUAAAAACAAGCCCCCCC